AGUACGUGGACGUAGACCCGAAACCGGGUGAUCUACCCCUGUCCAGGGUGAAGGUGCGGUAACACGCACUGGAGGCCCGAACCCACGCAUGUUGAAAAAUGCGGGGAUGAGGUGGGGGUAGCGGAGAAAUUCCAAUCGAACUCGGAGAUAGCUGGUUCUCCCCGAAAUAGCUUUAGGGCUAGCCUCGGAAAACAGAGUCGUGGAGGUAGAGCACUGAUUGGGUGCGGGGCCCGCAAGGGUUACCAAGCUCAGUCAAACUCCGAAUGCCAUAGACUUACUUCCGGGAGUCAGACAGUGAGUGCUAAGAUCCAUUGUCAAAAGGGAAACAGCCCAGACCAUCAGCUAAGGUCCCCAAGUGUGUGUUAAGUGGGAAAGGAUGUGGAGUUGCACAGACAACCAGGAUGUUGGCUUAGAAGCAGCCAUCAUUGAAAGAGUGCGUAAUAGCUCACUGGUCGAGUGACUCUGCGCCGAAAAUGUAACGGGGCUAAACACACCACCGAAGCUAUGGCUUGAUGCUUUGCAUCAGGGGUAGGGGAGCGUUGUAUAAGGGUUGAAGGUGUACCGUAAGGAGCGCUGGACAUUAUACAAGUGAGAAUGCCGGUAUGAGUAACGAAAAGAUCAGUGAGAAUCUGAUCCGCCGAAAGCCUAAGGGUUCCUGAGGAAGGCUCGUCCGCUCAGGGUAAGUCGGGACCUAAGGCGAGGCCGAAAGGCGUAGUCGAAGGACAACAGGUCGAAAUUCCUGUACCACCGUAAGCCGUUAUGAGCAAUGGGGGGACGCAGUAGGGUAGUGACGCGGACUGAUGGAUGUCCGUCUAAGCAGUAAGGCUGAUGUGUAGGCAAAUCCGCACAUUGUAAGGCUGAGCUGUGAUGGGGAGCGAAAAUUAUAGUAGCGAAGGUCAUGAUCUCACACUGCCAAGAAAAGCCUCUAGCCAGGUGAUGGUGCCCGUACCGCAAACCGACACAGGUAGGCGAGAAGAGUAUUCUAAGGCGCGCGGAAGAACUCUCGUUAAGGAACUCGGCAAAAUGACCCCGUAACUUCGGGAGAAGGGGUGCCCCGGUAGUGUGAAUAGCACGAGGGGGCCGCAGUGAAAAGGCCCAAGCGACUGUUUAGCAAAAACACAGGUCUGUGCGAAGCCGUAAGGCGAAGUAUACGGGCUGACGCCUGCCCGGUGCUGGAAGGUUAAGGGGAGUGGUUAGGAGCAAUCCGAAGCUGUGAACCGAAGCCCCAGUAAACGGCGGCCGUAACUAUAACGGUCCUAAGGUAGCGAAAUUCCUUGUCAGGUAAAUUCUGACCCGCACGAAUGGCGUAACGACUUGGGCGCUGUCUCAACGAGAGAUCCGGUGAAAUUUUAAUACCUGUGAAGAUGCAGGUUACCCGCGACAAGACGGAAAGACCCCAUGGAGCUUUACUGCAGCUUGAUAUUGAAUUUGGGUACGAUCUGUACAGGAUAGGUGGGAGCCUUUGAAACGUGAGCGCCAGCUUGCGUGGAGGCAACGUUGGGAUACCACCCUGAUCGUAUCUAGGUUCUAACCUGGUACCGUAAUCCGGUGCGGGGACAGUGUCAGGUGGGCAGUUUGACUGGGGCGGUCGCCUCCUAAAGAGUAACGGAGGCGCCCAAAGGUUCCCUCAGAAUGGUUGGAAAUCAUUCGAAGAGUGCAAAGGCAUAAGGGAGCUUGACUGCGAGACCUACAAGUCGAGCAGGGACGAAAGUCGGGCUUAGUGAUCCGGUGGUACCGCAUGGAAGGGCCAUCGCUCAACGGAUAAAAGCUACCCUGGGGAUAACAGGCUUAUCUCCCCCAAGAGUCCACAUCGACGGGGAGGUUUGGCACCUCGAUGUCGGCUCAUCGCAUCCUGGGGCUGAAGUAGGUCCCAAGGGUUGGGCUGUUCGCCCAUUAAAGCGGUACGCGAGCUGGGUUCAGAACGUCGUGAGACAGUUCGGUCCCUAUCUGUCGUGGGCGUAGGAAAUUUGAGAGGAGCUGUCCUUAGUACGAGAGGACCGGGAUGGACGUACCGCUGGUGUACCAGUUGUUCCGCCAGGAGCACCGCUGGGUAGCUAUGUACGGACGGGAUAAACGCUGAAAGCAUCUAAGCGUGAAGCCCCCCUCAAGAUGAGAUUUCCCAGUAUGUAAGACCCCUUGAAGACGACGAGGUAGAUAGGCUGGGGGUGGAAGUGCAGCAAUGCAUGGAGCUGACCAGUACUAAUCGGUCGAGGGCUUAUCCAAU
rnacentral:rRNA from 1 species